AUUGAACGCUGGCGGCAUGCCUUACACAUGCAAGUCGAACGGCAGCACGGGUGCUUGCCCCUGGUGGCGAGUGGCGAACGGGGGAGUAAUACAUCGGAACAUGUCCUGUAGUGGGGGAUAGCCCGGCGAAAGCCGGAUUAAUACCGCAUACGAUCUACGGAUGAAAGCGGGGGACCUUCGGGCCUCGCGCUAUAGGGUUGGCCGAUGGCUGAUUAGCUAGUUGGUGGGGUAAAGGCCUACCAAGGCGACGAUCAGUAGCUGGUCUGAGAGGACGACCAGCCACACUGGGACUGAGACACGGCCCAGACUCCUACGGGAGGCAGCAGUGGGGAAUUUUGGACAAUGGGCGAAAGCCUGAUCCAGCAAUGCCGCGUGUGUGAAGAAGGCCUUCGGGUUGUAAAGCACUUUUGUCCGGAAAGAAAACCUUGGUCCUAAUACGGUCGGGGGAUGACGGUACCGGAAGAAUAAGCACCGGCUAACUACGUG
rnacentral:rRNA from 1 species